rnacentral:piRNA from 1 species
UGGAAGACGUUAUUUCUUUUUAACAACCAAG